rnacentral:rRNA from 1 species
UACGGGGGGGGCAAGCGUUGUUCGGAAUUACUGGGCGUAAAGGGCGCGUAGGCGGUUCGCUAAGUUGGAUGUGAAAACUCUGGGCUCAACCCAGAGCCUGCAUCCAAAACUGGCGGGCUAGAGUUCUGGAGGGGGUAGCGGAAUUCCUGGUGUAGCGGUGAAAUGCGUAGAUAUCGGGAGGAACACCAGUGGCGAAGGCGGCUUCCUGGACCUGAUCUGACGCUGAGGAGCGAAAGCGUGGGGAGCAAACAGG